AAAGUUACCUUGUGCCGGGAUCUCGUUGACCACCGGGGACGAGCCCCCAGGACGAGGCACGGGCAAUGCACUGCGCUCGCGUUGACCCCUGCCACUACCCGAAUCUGGGGCAGAUGGGGCAUGCAAAUUGC
rnacentral:snRNA from 1 species